CAACUGGUUAAAAUUCCAGUACUUCUUUUGUUUUCGAUGCGGGGACGCUGCACGAAAUUCCCGGUGCGAAAUGGUUCCAAUCCGGGAGCUAGUGAGGUUGGGGAAGGCAAAUCCACCCAGCCGUCAGCCUGGAAAAUCCGCUAAGGUUAGGGCAGAAGAAUCCGUACCACAAACCGACACAGGUGGACAAGAUGAGUAUUCUCAGGCGCUCGGGUGAUGGUCUGCGAAGGAACUAGGCAAAUUAGCUCCGUAACUUCGGGAGAAGGAGUGCCCACCUCAGACGUGGGUCGCAGUGAAUAGCGUCAGGCGACUGUUUAACAAAAACACAGGUCUCUGCUAAGUCAAAAAAACGACGUAUAGGGGCUGACGCCUGCCCGGUGCCGGAAGGUUAAAAGGAGGGGUUAGUCGCAAGGCGAAGCUCUGAAUUGAAGCCCCGGUGAACGGCGGCCGUAACAAUAACGGUCCUAAGGUAGCAAAAUUCCUUGUCGGGUAAGUUCCGACCUGCACGAAUGGCGUAACGAUCUGACGACUGUCGGCGCAGGCCGCCCGGCGAACUUGUGGUUCCGGUGAAGACGCCGGAUGCCCGCCACUAGACGAAAAGACCCCGUGCACCUUUACUAUACUUUAACAAUGAAUUAUGGGAUGGACUGCGUAGGAUAGGUGGGAGGCUUUGAACCCGGAUUCUUGGAUUCGGGGGAGCCAAUGGUGAAAUACCACCCUGUUUAUUCUGUGAUUCUAACCUACCGACCUGAUCGGCCGGAGGGACAUUGUUAGACGGGUAGUUUGACUGGGGCGGUCGCCUCCAGAAUUGUAACGGAGGCGUGCGAAGCUUGGUUCAGGAGGUUUGGAAAUCCUCCUUCGAGUGCAAUAGCAUAAACCAGGUUGACUGUGAGACCUACAAGUCAAGCAGCUGCGAAAGCAGGCUAUAGUGAUCCUGUGAUUCUGUAUGGAAGGGUCAUCGCUCAACGGAUAAAAGGUACGCCGGGGAUAACAGGCUGAUCGGAGUCAAGAGUUCAUAUCGACGCUCCGGUUUGGCACCUCGAUGUCGGUUCAUCGCAUCCCGGGGUGUAGAAGCUCCCAAGGGUUAGGCUGUUCGCCUAUUAAAGCGGUACGUGAACUGGGUUCAGAACGUCGCGAGACAGUUCGGUCUCUAUCUGUGGUGGGCGUAGGAAAUUUGAAAGGAUCUGCCUUUAGUACGAGAGGACCGAGGUGGACGAACCUCUUGUGAUCCAGUUGUCCCGCCAGGGGCACCGCUGGGUAGCGAAGUUCGGUUAGGAUAAGCGCUGAAUGCAUAUAAGCGCGAAACCUUCCUUAAGAUGAGAUUUCCCAAGCGCAAGCUAUGAAGGGCCGUGGAAGACGACCACGUUGAUAGGCUGGGUGUGUAAGCGUAGUAAUACGUUAAGCUGACCAGUACUAAUCGCCCGUUCGGCUUGACC
rnacentral:rRNA from 1 species